UGAUUAUUGGAGGUAGAGCACUGUUUGGACGAGGGGCCCCUCUCGGGUUACCGAAUUCAGACAAACUCCGAAUGCCAAUUAAUUUAACUUGGGAGUCAGAACAUGGGUGAUAAGGUCCGUGUUCGAAAGGGAAACAGCCCAGACCACCAGCUAAGGUCCCAAAAUAUAUGUUAAGUGGAAAAGGAUGUGGCGUUGCCCAGACAACUAGGAUGUUGGCUUAGAAGCAGCCAUCAUUUAAAGAGUGCGUAAUAGCUCACUAGUCGAGUGACACUGCGCCGAAAAUGUACCGGGGCUAAACAUAUUACCGAAGCUGUGGAUUGUCCUUUGGACAAUGGUAGGAGAGCGUUCUAAGGGCGUUGAAGCAUGAUCGUAAGGACAUGUGGAGCGCUUAGAAGUGAGAAUGCCGGUGUGAGUAGCGAAAGACGGGUGAGAAUCCCGUCCACCGAUUGACUAAGGUUUCCAGAGGAAGGCUCGUCCGCUCUGGGUUAGUCGGGUCCUAAGCUGAGGCCGACAGGCGUAGGCGAUGGAUAACAGGUUGAUAUUCCUGUACCACCUAUAAUCGUUUUAAUCGAUGGGGGGACGCAGUAGGAUAGGCGAAGCGUGCGAUUGGAUUGCACGUCUAAGCAGUAAGGCUGAGUAUUAGGCAAAUCCGGUACUCGUUAAGGCUGAGCUGUGAUGGGGAGAAGACAUUGUGUCUUCGAGUCGUUGAUUUCACACUGCCGAGAAAAGCCUCUAGAUAGAAAAUAGGUGCCCGUACCGCAAACCGACACAGGUAGUCAAGAUGAGAAUUCUAAGGUGAGCGAGCGAACUCUCGUUAAGGAACUCGGCAAAAUGACCCCGUAACUUCGGGAGAAGGGGUGCUCUUUAGGGUUAACGCCCAGAAGAGCCGCAGUGAAUAGGCCCAAGCGACUGUUUAUCAAAAACACAGGUCUCUGCUAAACCGUAAGGUGAUGUAUAGGGGCUGACGCCUGCCCGGUGCUGGAAGGUUAAGAGGAGUGGUUAGCUUCUGCGAAGCUACGAAUCGAAGCCCCAGUAAACGGCGGCCGUAACUAUAACGGUCCUAAGGUAGCGAAAUUCCUUGUCGGGUAAGUUCCGACCCGCACGAAAGGCGUAACGAUUUGGGCACUGUCUCAACGAGAGACUCGGUGAAAUCAUAGUACCUGUGAAGAUGCAGGUUACCCGCGACAGGACGGAAAGACCCCGUGGAGCUUUACUGUAGCCUGAUAUUGAAAUUCGGCACAGCUUGUACAGGAUAGGUAGGAGCCUUUGAAACGUGAGCGCUAGCUUACGUGGAGGCGCUGGUGGGAUACUACCCUAGCUGUGUUGGCUUUCUAACCCGCACCACUUAUCGUGGUGGGAGACAGUGUCAGGCGGGCAGUUUGACUGGGGCGGUCGCCUCCUAAAAGGUAACGGAGGCGCUCAAAGGUUCCCUCAGAAUGGUUGGAAAUCAUUCAUAGAGUGUAAAGGCAUAAGGGAGCUUGACUGCGAGACCUACAAGUCGAGCAGGGUCGAAAGACGGACUUAGUGAUCCGGUGGUUCCGCAUGGAAGGGCCAUCGCUCAACGGAUAAAAGCUACCCCGGGGAUAACAGGCUUAUCUCCCCCAAGAGUUCACAUCGACGGGGAGGUUUGGCACCUCGAUGUCGGCUCAUCGCAUCCUGGGGCUGUAGUCGGUCCCAAGGGUUGGGCUGUUCGCCCAUUAAAGCGGUACGCGAGCUGGGUUCAGAACGUCGUGAGACAGUUCGGUCCCUAUCCGUCGUGGGCGUAGGAAAUUUGAGAGGAGCUGUCCUUAGUACGAGAGGACCGGGAUGGACAUACCUCUGGUGUACCAGUUGUCGUGCCAACGGCAUAGCUGGGUAGCUAUGUGUGGACGGGAUAAGUGCUGAAAGCAUCUAAGCAUGAAGCCCCCCUCAAGAUGAGAUUUCCC
rnacentral:rRNA from 1 species